CCUACGGUGGGCUGCAGUGAGGAAUAUUGGUCAAUGGGCGGAAGCCUGAACCAGCCAAGUCGCGUGAGGGAAUAAGGCCCUACGGGUCGUAAACCUCUUUUGCCGGGGAGCAAGGUCGGGGACGUGUCCCUGCCCGGAGAGUACCCGGAGAAAAAGCAUCGGCUAACUCCGUGCCAGCAGCCGCGGUAAUACGGAGGAUGUGAGCGUUCGCCGGAUUUAGUGGGUUUAAGGGGUGCGUAGGCGGGAUUUUAAGACAGAGGGAAAAAUUCGGGGCUCAACCCGGUCCGGCCGGUGAUACUGGGGGCCUUGAGUGGGCGAGAAGAAGGCGGAAUGCGUGGUGUAGCGGUGAAAUGCUUAGAUAUCACGCAGAACCCCGAUUGCGAAGGCAGCCUUCCGGCGCCCGACUGACGCUGAGGCACGGAAGUGCGGGGAUCGAACAGGAUUAGAUACCCCAGUAGUC
rnacentral:rRNA from 1 species